rnacentral:rRNA from 1 species
UACAGAGGUCUCAAGCGUUGUUCGGAUUCAUUGGGCGUAAAGGGUGCGUAGGCGGCGCGGUAAGUCGGGUGUGAAAUCUCGGGGCUCAACCCCGAAACUGCACUUGAUACUGCCUUGCUAGAGUACUGGAGAGGAGAUUGGAAUUUACGGUGUAGCAGUGAAAUGCGUAGAUAUCGUAAGGAAGACCAGUGGCGAAGGCGAAUCUCUGGACAGUUACUGACACUGAGGCACGAAGGCCAGGGGAGCAAACGGG